rnacentral:rRNA from 1 species
CGGGUGAGUAACGCGUGGGUAACCUGCCUUGUACUGGGGGACGACAGUUGGAAACGACUGCUAAUACCGCAUAAGCGCACAGCUUCGCAUGAAGCAGUGUGAAAAACUCCGGUGGUACAAGAUGGACCCGCGUCUGAUUAGCUGGUUGGUGAGGUAACGGCCCACCAAGGCGACGAUCAGUAGCCGGCCUGAGAGGGUGAACGGCCACAUUGGGACUGAGACACGGCCCAA